UUUGACUGUUUCCCAAGGGAGUGUUCUUCUGGAGUUUGCUUCUGGAUUCCUCACUCUCUGCGAACCUUGUUUGUGGAUGCCCCUCAAAAAUGCAAUGCCCGGCAUUAGAUGCACAAGCCCAGGCAAUUAAAAUGAAGACUGUUUCCAUGCGGGCCCCCGUGAAAGGGAUUCCUGUGUAUCUCAAGCAACAAAGAGAGCUGUGGAGCAAGGAGAUUCCCUGUGUAAUCGGGAGCACUGGAUGUGAAUCCCAGGUCUGGCAUGGGAACCUUGGUGAGUGAUGCUGAGUGGAAUGUUACGUAUCACCAUCAUCAUCAGCAUCCAUCCCACCACCAUCAUCACAACCACCACCACCACCAUCAUCAUCAUCAUCAUCAUCAACAGCUUUUUCCAAGCAAGUCUGGAAUAAGAAGAGAAGUCGGAGGAUUUAGGCUUUGUACUUCCUGGCAGCCCCAGCCCCUGAGGCUCAUGCGAUCCUGCUCACCUUCUCUCCCUGACCCCGAACCCUAAGGGGCUCCCGCACUCCAGAUCGUAGCUGGCUCUUCUCUAUUCUUUUCCUUAUUCCAGCCAUUAGAGUCUUUUGGGACUGGCUUCUCAACCUUUGUCACAUUGGGCUUGAUAUUUUUAGUUUCUUUCAGUGGUAAAUAUUAGAUUAUUCAGAAAAAUUGUUGUCCCAGAUUUCCACACAUGAUGGUAUAGAUACAGAAUAUACACUUAUAAAAUAAGCAGAAAUGAUAUCUCAUGAACAUUUGCUAGAAUUGAAAUAGAAGAGGUGCAGGCAGCAUCCCCAUAGCUUAAAAAUGAUCUGCUAAGAUGUGGGCAUGACUUUUCCCCACAAAACUUGCCACUCAUUUGAUAUUAUAGUGCGGGGGAAUAGUCUUCCUGACAUUUUAGUGGUUGUUAUUGCUGUAUUUUUUUUUUAGGGCAUAUUUUUUUAAGGGGAGAAAAUGAAGAAUAUGUAAGGAAAAAAAUCAGUACUUAGCUGGGUUACCUUUUAUUCUUAGGACAUUUACUUGUUAGCAUUACAGUCUUAAAAUAGUCUUCUACCAAAUACAUUACCAACAGGCAUUUCCAAAAUGCUGAGAGUACUCUAUCUAGUCUCAAAUUCUCAAGUUCAAAAAAAUGGAAUGCCAGUUCCUCCAUGGGCUGACACAGCCUCAUUAUUAUGGCCAUAUUUAUUUACUUAUUUAUUGUAGUAAAAUAUACAUAAUAUAAAAUUCAUCAUUUAAACCAUUUUAAGCAUACAGUUCAGUGCCUUUAAGUACAUUCACAUUGUUAUAUAAUCAUCACUACUAUCCAUCUUCAAAACUUUUUUUAUCUUCUGCAAUGAAAACUAUGUACCCAUUUAAUAAUAAUUCCUAAUUACCCCUACCCUCUGCCCGUAGCCACCACCAUUCUACUUUGUGUCUCUAUGAAUUUAACUACUGUCAGUACCUUAUGUAAGUGGAUUAGCGCCAAAUUUGUCUUUUUGCGAUUGGCUUAGUCACUUAGCAUCAUGUCUUCCAGGUUCAGUCAUAUUGCGGCAUAUGUCAGGAUUUUCUUCCCUUUAGGGUAACACUUAUUGAGCUCUUACUGCCUACCAGGCCUUGUGCUAUGCGCUUCAACAGACCUCACAAUCACCCUAUGAGGUAGGGAGUCUCACUAACUCCAUUUCACAGAUGAAGAAACUGAAGACAGGAAUGUUUAGAAAGCUGCCUGAUAUGGUUUAGCUCUGUGU
rnacentral:lncRNA from 1 species